CCUACGGGGUGCAGCAGUGGGGGAUAUUGCACAAUGGGGGAAACCCUGAUGCAGCGACGCCGCGUGGGCGAAGAAGUAUUUCGGUAUGUAAAGCCCUAUCAGCAGGGAAGAAGAAAUAACGGUACCUGAGUAAGAAGCACCGGCUAAAUACGUGCCAGCAGCCGCGGUAAUACGUAUGGUGCAAGCGUUAUCCGGAUUUACUGGGUGUAAAGGGAGCGUAGACGGUUCUGCAAGUCUGAAGUGAAAGCCCGUGGCUUAACCGCGGAACGGCUUUGGAAACUGUGGAACUGGAGUGCUGGAGAGGCAAGCGGAAUGUCUAGUGUAGCGGUGAAAUGCGUAGAUAUUAGGAGGAACACCAGUGGCGAAGGCGGCUUGCUGGACAGUAACUGACGUUGAGGCUCGAAAGCGUGGGGAGCAAACAGGAUUAGAUACCCUUGUAGUC
rnacentral:rRNA from 1 species